GGUUAAGCGACUAAGCGUACACGGUGGAUGCCCUGGCAGUCAGAGGCGAUGAAGGGCGUGCUAAUCUGCGAUAAGCGCCGGUAAGGUGAUAUGAACCGUUAUAACCGGCGAUACCCGAAUGGGGAAACCCAGUGUGAUUCGUCACACUAUCAUUAACUGAAUCCAUAGGUUAAUGAGGCGAACCGGGGGAACUGAAACAUCUAAGUACCCCGAGGAAAAGAAAUCAACCGAGAUUCCCCCAGUAGCGGCGAGCGAACGGGGAGGAGCCCAGAGCCUGAAUCAGCAUGUGUGUUAGUGGAAGCGUCUGGAAAGGCGCGCGAUACAGGGUGACAGCCCCGUACACAAAAGCGCAUGUGCUGUGAGCUCGAUGAGUAGGGCGGGACACGUGGUAUCCUGUCUGAAUAUGGGGGGACCAUCCUCCAAGGCUAAAUACUCCUGACUGACCGAUAGUGAACCAGUACCGUGAGGGAAAGGCGAAAAGAACCCCGGCGAGGGGAGUGAAAAAGAACCUGAAAUCGUGUACGUACAAGCAGUGGGAGCACAGGUUUACCUGUGUGACUGCGUACCUUUUGUAUAAUGGGUCAGCGACUUAUAUUCUGUAGCAAGGUUAACCGAAUAGGGGAGCCGGAGGGAAACCGAGUCUUAAUUGGGCGUUAAGUUGCAGGGUAUAGACCCGAAACCCGGUGAUCUAGCCAUGGGCAGGUUGAAGGUUGGGUAACACUAACUGGAGGACCGAACCGACUAAUGUUGAAAAAUUAGCGGAUGACCUGUGGCUGGGGGUGAAAGGCCAAUCAAACCGGGAGAUAGCUGGUUCUCCCCGAAAGCUAUUUAGGUAGCGCCUCGUGAAUUCAUCUCCGGGGGUAGAGCACUGUUUCGGCUAGGGGGCCAUCCCGGCUUACCAACCCGAUGCAAACUGCGAAUACCGGAGAAUGUUAUCACGGGAGACACACGGCGGGUGCUAACGUCCGUCGUGAAGAGGGAAACAACCCAGACCGCCAGCUAAGGUCCCAAAGUCAUGGUUAAGUGGGAAACGAUGUGGGAAGGCCCAGACAGCCAGGAUGUUGGCUUAGAAGCAGCCAUCAUUUAAAGAAAGCGUAAUAGCUCACUGGUCGAGUCGGCCUGCGCGGAAGAUGUAACGGGGCUAAACCAUGCACCGAAGCUGCGGCAGCGACGCUUAUGCGUUGUUGGGUAGGGGAGCGUUCUGUAAGCCUGUGAAGGUGGCCUGUGAGGGUUGCUGGAGGUAUCAGAAGUGCGAAUGCUGACAUAAGUAACGAUAAAGCGGGUGAAAAGCCCGCUCGCCGGAAGACCAAGGGUUCCUGUCCAACGUUAAUCGGGGCAGGGUGAGUCGACCCCUAAGGCGAGGCCGAAAGGCGUAGUCGAUGGGAAACGGGUUAAUAUUCCCGUACUUGGUGUUACUGCGAAGGGGGACGGAGAAGGCUAUGUUGGCCGGGCGACGGUUGCCCCGGUUUAAGCGUGUAGGUGUGUGUUCCAGGUAAAUCCGGUUCACUUUAACACUGAGGCGUGAUGACGAGGCACUACGGUGCUGAAGUAACAAAUGCCCUGCUUCCAGGAAAAGCCUCUAAGCAUCAGGUAACAUCAAAUCGUACCCCAAACCGACACAGGUGGUCAGGUAGAGAAUACCAAGGCGCUUGAGAGAACUCGGGUGAAGGAACUAGGCAAAAUGGUGCCGUAACUUCGGGAGAAGGCACGCUGACACGUAGGUGAAGUGAUUUACUCACGGAGCUGAAGUCAGUCGAAGAUACCAGCUGGCUGCAACUGUUUAUUAAAAACACAGCACUGUGCAAACACGAAAGUGGACGUAUACGGUGUGACGCCUGCCCGGUGCCGGAAGGUUAAUUGAUGGGGUCAGCGCAAGCGAAGCUCCUGAUCGAAGCCCCGGUAAACGGCGGCCGUAACUAUAACGGUCCUAAGGUAGCGAAAUUCCUUGUCGGGUAAGUUCCGACCUGCACGAAUGGCGUAAUGAUGGCCAGGCUGUCUCCACCCGAGACUCAGUGAAAUUGAACUCGCUGUGAAGAUGCAGUGUACCCGCGGCAAGACGGAAAGACCCCGUGAACCUUUACUAUAGCUUGACACUGAACAUUGAGCCUUGAUGUGUAGGAUAGGUGGGAGGCUUUGAAGUGUGGACGCCAGUCUGCAUGGAGCCGACCUUGAAAUACCACCCUUUAAUGUUUGAUGUUCUAACGUGGACCCGUUACCCGGGUUGCGGACAGUGUCUGGUGGGUAGUUUGACUGGGGCGGUCUCCUCCUAAAGAGUAACGGAGGAGCACGAAGGUUGGCUAAUCCUGGUCGGACAUCAGGAGGUUAGUGCAAUGGCAUAAGCCAGCUUGACUGCGAGCGUGACGGCGCGAGCAGGUGCGAAAGCAGGUCAUAGUGAUCCGGUGGUUCUGAAUGGAAGGGCCAUCGCUCAACGGAUAAAAGGUACUCCGGGGAUAACAGGCUGAUACCGCCCAAGAGUUCAUAUCGACGGCGGUGUUUGGCACCUCGAUGUCGGCUCAUCACAUCCUGGGGCUGAAGUAGGUCCCAAGGGUAUGGCUGUUCGCCAUUUAAAGUGGUACGCGAGCUGGGUUUAGAACGUCGUGAGACAGUUCGGUCCCUAUCUGCCGUGGGCGCUGGAGAACUGAGGGGGCUGCUCCUAGUACGAGAGGACCGGAGUGGACGCAUCACUGGUGUUCGGGUUGUCAUGCCAAUGGCACUGCCCGGUAGCUAAAUGCGGAAGAGAUAAGUGCUGAAAGCAUCUAAGCACGAAACUUGCCCCGAGAUGAGUUCUCCCUGAGACUUAAAGUCUCCUGAAGGAACGUUGAAGACGACGACGUUGAUAGGCCGGGUGUGUAAGCGCAGCGAUGCGUUGAGCUAACCGGUACUAAUGAACCGUGAGGCUUAACCCU
rnacentral:rRNA from 1 species